rnacentral:rRNA from 1 species
GAUUAGUGGCGCACGGGUGAGUAAUGCAUAGAUAAUGUGCCCCUUAGUUCGGGAUAGCCACUGGAAACGGUGAUUAAUACCGGAUACUCCUUCUUGUUAUAAGACAAGUCGGGAAAGUUUUUCGCUAAGGGAUCAGUCUAUGUUCCAUCAGCUUGUUGGUGAGGUAAUGGCUCACCAAGGCUAUGACGGAUAUCUGGUUUGAGAGGAUGAUCAGACACACUGGAACUGAGACACGGUCCAGACUCCUACGGGAGGCAGCAGUGAGGAAUAUUGCACAAUGGAGGAAACUCUGAUGCAGCAACGCCGCGUGGAGGAUGACGCAUUUCGGUGUGUAAACUCCUUUUAUUAGGGAAGAUAAUGACGGUACCUAAUGAAUAAGCACCGGCUAACUCCGUGCCAGCAGCCGCGGUAAUACGGAGGGUGCAAGCGUUACUCGGAAUCACUGGGCGUAAAGGGUGCGUAGGCUGGCUUUUAAGUCAGAUGUGAAAUCCAAUGGCUCAACCAUUGAACUGCAUUUGAAACUGAAAGCCUAGAGUUCAGAAGGGGCAGAUGGAAUUAGUGGUGUAGGGGUAAAAUCCGUAGAUAUCACUAGGAAUAUCAAAAGCGAAGGCGAUCUGCUGGGAUGAUACUGACG